rnacentral:rRNA from 1 species
UUUCCGGUUGAUCCUGCCGGACCUGACUGCUAUCGGAUUGAUACUAAGCCAUGCGAGUCUUUGUAGUAAUACAAGGCAUACGGCUCAGUAACGCGUAGUCAACCUACCCUAUGGACAAGAAUAAUCUCGGGAAACUGAGCAUAAUUCUUGAUAGAUCAUAAUGCCUGGAAUGGUUUAUGGUUAAAAUGAUUCGUCGCCAUAGGAUGGGACUGCGGCCUAUCAGCUUGUUGGUGAGGUAAUGGCCCACCAAGGCGAUUACAGGUACGGGCUCUGAGAGGAGAAGCCCGGAGAUGGGUACUGAGACAAGGACCCAGGCCCUAUGGGGCGCAGCAGGCGAGAAAACUUUGCAAUGUGCGAAAGCACGACAAGGUUAGUCCGAGUGAUUUCUGCUAAAGAGAUCUUUUGCUAAUUAUAAAACCACUAGUGAAUAAGGGGUGGGCAAGUUCUGGUGUCAGCCGCCGCGGUAAAACCAGCACCUCAAGUGGUCAGGAUGAUUAUUGGGCCUAAAGCAUCCGUAGCCGGCUCUGUAAGUUUUCGGUUAAAUCUAUGCGCUCAACGUAUGGGCUGCCGAAAAUACUGUAGAGAUAGGGAGUGGGAGAGGUAGACGGUACUCGGUAGGAAGGGGUAAAAUCCUUUGAUCUAUCGAUGACCACCUGUGGCGAAGGCGGUCUACCAGAACACGUUCGACGGUGAGGGAUGAAAGCUGGGGGAGCAAACCGGAUUAGAUACCCGGGUAGUCCCAGCAGUAAACGAUGCAGACUCGAUGAUGCAUUGGCAUAUAGCCAGUGCAGUGUCGCAGGGAAGCCGUUAAGUCUGCCGCCUGGGAAGUACGUACGCAAGUAUGAAACUUAAAGGAAUUGGCGGGGGAGCACCACAAGGGGUGAAGCCUGCGGUUCAAUUGGAGUCAACGCCGGA